rnacentral:rRNA from 1 species
UACGUAGGGAGCAAGCGUUAUCCGGAUUUACUGGGUGUAAAGGGCGCGCAGGCGGGCCCGCAAGUUGGGAGUGAAAUCCGGGGGCUUAACCCCCGAACUGCUUUCAAAACUGCGAGUCUUGAGUGAUGGAGAGGCAGGCGGAAUUCCGUGUGUAGCGGUGAAAUGCGUAGAUAUACGGAGGAACACCAGUGGCGAAGGCGGCCUGCUGGACAUUAACUGACGCUGAGGCGCGAAAGCGUGGGGAGCAAACAGG